GACGAACGCUGGCGGCGUGCUUAACACAUGCAAGUCGAACGGUGAAGGGGUCUGCUUUUGUGGGCCCUGGAUGAGUGGCGAACGGAUGAGUAACACGUGAGUAACCUGCCCCCUUCUUCUGGAUAACCGCAUGAAAGUGUGGCUAAUACGGGAUAUUCUGGGUCUGUCGCAUGAUGGGUCUGGGAAAGAUUGCGCCUUUGGGUGUUUUUGGUGGGGGAUGGGCUCGCGGCCUAUCAGCUUGUUGGUGGGGUGAUGGCCUACCAAGGCGGUGACGGGUAGCCGGCCUGAGAGGGUGGACGGUCACACUGGGACUGAGACACGGCCCAGACUCCUACGGGAGGCAGCAGUGGGGAAUAUUGCACAAUGGGCGCAAGCCUGAUGCAGCGACGCCGCGUGAGGGAGGGAGGCCUUCGGGUUGUAAACCUCUUUCGCCAGUGAAGCAGGCCUGCUCCUUGUGGGUGGGUUGACGGUAGCUGGAUAAGAAGCGCCGGCUAACUACGUG
rnacentral:rRNA from 1 species